rnacentral:rRNA from 1 species
UACGUAGGUGGCAAGCGUUGUCCGGAAUUAUUGGGCGUAAAGCGCGCGCAGGCGGCCUCUUAAGUCUGAUGUGAAAGCCCCCGGCUAAACCGGGGAGGGCCAUUGGAAACUGGGAGGCUUGAGUAUAGGAGAGAAGAGGGGAAUUCCACGUGUAGCCGUGAAAUGCGUAGAGAUGUGGAGGAACACCAGUGGCGAAGGCGACUCUUUGGCCUAUAAAUGACGCUGAGGCGCGAAAGCGUGGGGAGCAAACAGG